rnacentral:rRNA from 1 species
UACGUAGGGACCAAGCGUUGUCCGGAAUCAUUGGGCGUAAAGCGCGCGUAGGUGGCCAUUUAAGUCCGCUGUGAAAGUCAAAGGCUCAACCUUUGAAAGCCGGUGGAUACUGGGUGGCUAGAGUACGGAAGAGGCGAGUGGAAUUCCUGGUGUAGCGGUGAAAUGCGUAGAUAUCGGGAAGAACACCCGUGGCGAAGGCGGCUCUCUGGGACGGUACUGACGCUGAGACGCGAAAGCGUGGGGAGCGAACAGG